CUUAAGUGAAGAACGUAUCUGUAUAUUUAAUCACGUAAACAAGUAUACAUAACGAGACGAAUACAGCGUGCCACCAAGCUGAGAUUUGCAGUAAACAUAAAGUAUAACAGCCAGUGAGCACUGGUGAAAUAUCUCAGCAUGCUUGUGCAAGCAACAAGUCCAGGAGAGAAUCCUGACUAAUUCCACCCUGUCAUACACCCCCUGUUUACCGUCAGUCUGCACGGGAACGUGUGAUUCCUCAAAACUCAAGUAAGAACUAAAAGAGGAAGUACCUCCCUGAGUAGACCUUGGUGCACCCACAUUUGAUAAAAAGCUAACAAGAAGCACAAGAUAAAAGGAGCAAAGUUGCAUGUGGCUUUUUCUUUGCGUAUGAAUGUGCAACGAAACAUGCCCGAUGAGUC
ensembl:lncRNA